AGAGUUUGAUCAUGGCUCAGAUUGAACGCUGGCGGCAUGCCUUACACAUGCAAGUCGAACGGUAACGGGCCUUCGGGUGCCGACGAGUGGCGAACGGGUGAGUAAUGCAUCGGAACGUACCUUCAGUGGGGGAUAACGUAGCGAAAGUUACGCUAAUACCGCAUAUUCUGUGAGCAGGAAAGCAGGGGAUCGCAAGACCUUGCGCUGAUUGAGCGGCCGAUGUCAGAUUAGCUAGUUGGUGAGGUAAAGGCUCACCAAGGCGACGAUCUGUAGCGGGGUCUGAGAGGAUGAUCCGCCACACUGGAACUGAGACACGGUCCAGACUCCUACGGGAGGCAGCAGUGGGGAAUUUUGGACAAUGGGGGCAACCCUGAUCCAGCCAUGCCGCGUGAGUGAAGAAGGCCUUCGGGUUGUAAAGCUCUUUCGGCCGGGAAGAAAUCGCAUGGGUUAAUACCCUGUGCGGAUGACGGUACCGGCAUAAGAAGCACCGGCUAACUACGUG
rnacentral:rRNA from 1 species